rnacentral:tRNA from 1 species
GGGGCCGUAGCUCAGCUUGGGUAGAGUGCGCGGCUCGGGCCCGCGUGGUCCGGGGUUCAAAUCCCCGCGGCCCCA